GGUGAAAAGAGAUACUGCUGUGUCUUCCUGUGUGAACCUGAUUGGAAGGAAAACAUGAGGACCAAGCUGUCACAACUUUACAGUAUCACCAUAAAAAAUUGACAGCUACCAGAUCUGUAAGAAUAUAAACCAGAGGGUAAUCAGUCAAGUGGUGCAUGACUUCAGGAGGAUUAAUGGUGAAUUUUCAGAGGACUCUGACCAACCAUUGUGAGAAUCAGAAUGCUAGAUGAAAAAGACUAGCCAUCCAUUACUUGAGACUCCAGGAUGUUUCAGAAACAACAAUGCUGUCUGGAGAUGAGGGGAAUGGUAAUAUAAUAUCAGAAUGACCUGUAAUAAAAAUCACUGGAGAGACCCAGGGUCAUAAUGGUUUGGAUCCAAAGCACUGAUUUGAAGGAGAGAUUCUGAAGAUCCACAAAAUCCUAUCAAUCCAAAGUGACACUGUUCACUUCAAAGAGGGAGGGAUAUGAAAUCUGCAACCCAUCCAUUUAUCUCUCAACAUGCCUUCUAUGUAAGCAAUGCAGUCUUUGGAUUGAUCCAGCAUUUUUAGGAGCUUCUGCCUUAUCAUGUGAUUCAGCA